rnacentral:rRNA from 1 species
GAUGAACGCUAGCUACAGGCUUAACACAUGCAAGUCGCGGGGCAGCAUGGGGGUUGCUUGCAAUCCCCGAUGGCGACCGGCGCACGGGUGAGUAACGCGUAUCCAACCUGCCCUUCACCACGGGAUAACCCGGCGAAAGUCGGACUAAUACCGUAUGUUGUCCAUUGACGGCAUCCGAUUUGGACGAAAGGGUUGGCGGUGAAGGAUGGGGAUGCGUCCGAUUAGCUGGACGGCGGGGUGACGGCCCACCGUGGCGACGAUCGGUAGGGGUUCCGAGAGGAAGGUCCCCCACACUGGAACUGAGACACGGUCCAGACUCCUACGGGAGGCAGCAGUGAGGAAUAUUGGUCAAGGGGCGUAAGCCUGAACCAGCCAAGUAGCGUGCAGGAUGACGGCCCUAUGGGUUGUAAACUGCUUUUAUGCGGGGAUAAAGUGGCCCACGUGUGGGUUUUUGCAGGUACCGCAUGAAUAAGGACCGGCUAAUUCCGUG